GGGAUUAAUAAGCGGAGGAAAAGAAACUAACAAGGAUUCCCCCAGUAACGGCGAGUGAAGCGGGACCAGCUCAAAUUUGAAAUCUCCGAUGCCUGCAUCGGCGAGUUGUAGUUGCGAGAAGCACUUUCUAGGUGGAUCGGUCGUGCCUAAGUUGCUUGGAACAGCACGUCGCAGAGGGUGACAACCCCGUCUGUGGCGCGGCCGGCCGCCGACGAUGUGCUUUCGAAGAGUCGGGUUGUUUGGGAAUGCAGCCCAAAAAGGGUGGUAAACUCCAUCUAAAGCUAAAUACUGGCGUGAGACCGAUAGCGAACAAGUACCGUGAGGGAAAGAUGAAAAGAACUUUGAAAAGAGAGUUAAAAAGUACGUGAAACCGUUAAAAGGGAAACGAAUGGACUCAGCAAUGCGCCUCUUGAGAUUCAGCCGGUGGGUGGGAUCGGCCUGGGGUUUGCGGAUCCGAACGGACCGCGAUCUCGGGCUCGUUUCUCCCCGCCGUCGCACUUCUCUUGGGCGCGCGUCAACGUCGGUUGGGACCGGGUCUUAAAGUUGCCAGGAAGGUAGGUCUGGACCUCCGGGUCUGUUCUAUUAUAGCCUGGUCUCUCAUGGCUCGGGCCUGACCGAGGAGUCGCAGCGCAUGCCUCUUGUGGCUAGGGUCCCGUCCUUCCGGCCGGUUGUCGAAUGCGGUGGACUGCUUGCAGUGCUCCGCGACUGCUGCCGGUCGUUGGGGUGGUGAUCUCGUACCAUGCGCUUGGGAUGUUGGCGGUCAUAUGGGUCCAUCCGACCCGUCUUGAAACAC
rnacentral:rRNA from 1 species